CCUACGGGACGCACCAGUGGGGAAUAUUGCACAAUGGGCGCAAGCCUGAUGCAGCCAUCCCGCGUGUGCGAUGAAGGCCUUCGGGUUGUAAAGCACUUUUGGCAGGAAAGAAACGUCAUGGGUUAAUACCCCGUGAAACUGACGGUACCUGCAGAAUAAGCACCGGCUAACUACGUGCCAGCAGCCGCGGUAAUACGUAGGGUGCAAGCGUUAAUCGGAAUUACCGGGCGUAAAGCGUGCGCAGGCGGUUCGGAAAGAAAGAUGUGAAAUCCCAGAGCUUAACUUUGGAACUGCAUUUUUAACUACCGGGCUAGAGUGUGUCAGAGGGAGGUGGAAUUCCGCGUGUAGCAGUGAAAUGCGUAGAUAUGCGGAGGAACACCGAUGGCGAAGGCAGCCUCCUGGGAUAACACUGACGCUCAUGCACGAAAGCGUGGGGAGCAAACAGGAUUAGAUACCCGCGUAGUC
rnacentral:rRNA from 1 species